UGGUUGUUGAUGGCAUGUAGGCCAGAGU
rnacentral:sRNA from 1 species